rnacentral:sRNA from 1 species
GGCAACGACCCGAAGGGCGAAGCGCGCAGCACUGAGUCAUCCUUCCCCCACCACCA